rnacentral:rRNA from 1 species
CCUACGGGAGGUAGCAGUGGGGAAUAUUGCGCAAUGGGCGAAAGCCUGACGCAGCGACGCCGCGUGAGGGAUGAAGGUCUUCGGAUCGUAAACCUCUGUCAGCAGGGAAGAACGGUCACUGUGCUAAUCAGCAGUGAAUUGACGGUACCUGAGUAAGAAGCCCCGGCUAACUACGUGCCAGCAGCCGCGGUAAUACGUAGGGGGCAAGCGUUAUCCGGAUUUACUGGGUGUAAAGGGAGCGUAGACGGCAGUGCAAGUCUGGAGUGAAAGGCGGGGGCUCAACCCCCGGACUGCUCUGGAAGCUGUACGGCGGGAGUGCAGGAGAGGUAAGUGGAAUUCCUAGUGUAGCGGUGAAAUGCGUAGAUAUUAGGAGGAACACCAGUGGCGAAGGCGGCUUACUGGACUGUAACUGACGUUGAGGCUCGAAAGCGUGGGGAGCAAACAGGAUUAGAUACCCCAGUAGUC